rnacentral:lncRNA from 1 species
UGUAAAACAAUAGACAACUUUCGAGUUCGAUGCAUUUCCGUCAAAAACUCUGGUUUUAGUGAACGUCAUUUGUGCGUUUAGGGGCGUCGUCACUUCCGUUUUAAUGUUGAGCGAGUGGUUGGAAAACUAUAAUUCUAUAUUGUACGAAUUAUUCAGCCAAAUUAAAUUCUCAAAAUUGACAAUCAGCACUGCUGUCAUUAGGGAAUUGUCAUUAAGUACCUACAGAACAACCAUUAUUUCUAGUUUAUCCUGCACAACGACGAUCACUUAGACGCUUGAUGAACGUAAAUAGUGCUGGGAUACAGGCGAUCCCCUCUAUCUUGUAAAUGACGUCAUAAAGGCGCGCAUAAUUGACGAGUUUUUGCCGGUGACGGAUGAACUCGAAAGUGGUCUAUUGAAACGAGAAAACUAAC